rnacentral:tRNA from 1 species
AGGAGCGUAGCUCAGUCUGGCCAGAGCGCCGGUCUCCAAAACCGGUGGUCGGGGGUUCGAAUCCUCCCGCUCCUGCCA